ensembl:lincRNA
UGACUUAAAAGUUAAUAUGAUAUUUCAGGGCAGGGCAGACAACACCUGCCUAGGAAGAUGGAGAGAGGAAGGAAAGGACUUCUCUUCCCUGAAUAUGCCAGAAAUAUAAAGCAAGGAGUGGAAUGAAAACAUCAAGGGGCAGCUCCUUGAAAGAGUUCAGUGAAUCAUCUUGUGGGGAAGAUAAGAAAUGUUUUGAAAUAUGUCUGAAAAGGGAAGAGGGCAUUCCAGAUACAGGAGACAUCAGAGAUAACUAUUGUCAACAGUUCCAGUUUGAUGUCUAGUGAGACAGAUAGAGAGAGAUAUGCCAAGAUAGUAAAUCACGGCAUUUCUGUAUGUCUGACUAUGGAAUAUUCUUCAGAAAUCACUGAGACCAUUUAUUUUAUAUUGGAAUUUCAUCUUGAUCUAAGAUCCAUCAACUUCAGUAGGUAAGUUGGUUUUGGUGAACUUCCUAAGUCCUAGAGAUUCUGAAAGUGGUUUCUGUCAGUAAUAUAGCAAGUUGUCAAGAAAAGGUCCUUCUGGUAUAAUAUGCCAAAAAUCCGUGUUAAUAAGUUACUUUAAUAUAAUUACUCAAUUUGAUUAGCUGAAUUAUGCAAAAGCACAUCAGUGUUCCACAGGGGCUUGCAGCAGAGCUCUGAAGGACUCCUGUUCUCCUUUGCCUUGCCCUCUCCAAUGCCUUCUGCCCCAUCCAGCCCUUCAAUGCCAUGUUCCCUCCCUGAGAGUGAGAGAAGCUCUUAGAAACAUAGGCUCAGGGAAGACAGACCCUAGUUCAGGGAGGUUUCUGCUCUGAAUUUCAAAGGACUGGGUAGGGUUAAUCCAGCCAAAACCUAGGUUAAUAUUCAUAGAAAUUAAAGAGAAAGGGCUUUACUUCCUCAGGGACUAGAAGAGGUCAGGAGAGAAACUAGGUUAAAUAGGAAGGCUAGUGUGUUUGUGGAUACAGAGAAAGAGAGAGAGAGAUGGAGAAUAGGGAGGAGGAGGAGGGCUGAAGGAGAAGAAACAAGAAGAGACAAGAAGGGAAAAUUGACCUUUUACAAAACAUGUUGAGGUUAAGUGUAUGUAUGAAUAGAGAAAUGUACAGAUGUUAAGCGUAGAAUGAGAUGAGGUUUGACACAUGUACUUAUCCAUGUAAACAAUACCUAAUAAAGACAUAGACCACCUUCCUUUGCCUCAGACAGUUCCUUCAUGCCCCCUUGUACUCAAUAUGCCAAUUCCACCCUCCUGAUCUCGCAGCUAUGGGGAUUUCCAUUAGUAUACAUUCAUUUGGACAUUCUUGAGCUUCAU